GUGAAUCCAGCCCCUAGUAAUGCUUGCUCUCGCGUAUAGGAUUUCAAUAUAACAUAUAUGUAUUUGGAAUUGGGCUCCGAGUCUUGUUGUAUCUUUGCAAGAACAUUUCUUAAUUUUUACAUUGCAUGUGCAUAUAUGAUAUGAGAGCAUGAUAUAUAUAAUUUUAUUUAUAAGUAUAUUUUAAAAAAUGAAUAAUCUUUCAGAUUGAAUGAUGUAAAGAUGUGCAUAGCAUUUCCCCAAGUUUAACAUUGAAAUUGAGUAAGAAUUAUUUUUUUAAAACCAUGUGGCAUAGUAUCAUAUCUUGCACGUAUCAGACAAGAAUUUAAGGUCAGUUGCUGAAAAAAUUUGAACAUGGCUGCAAGUUUCUAUUUUAUUAAUAAACCCCAGCUAUUUCAAAAGUACAUGUACUUGUUUUGAGAAGUCACCCUUCUAUUUUCCUGGUUUUAAAAAAUCCCUGAAAUGUCAUGGCAUGAAAAUAAUCCAGCUUAAGAAACAUUGAAAACAGUGGAAACGUUUAAUUGUUCUCUCUUGAUCGUAUUUUAAUGAAUCAUCGAGGUUAAUGAUAGAUAUUGGCUACUUACUAUAUCAGUAAUAUUUCAAAAAAGUUAAAAGAACCAUAUGUAACUGUUGUGUUUUAAAGAACACAUAUGAUGUGAAUGGUUACUAAAGUAUUUAAAUCAUGCAUAUGCUCUCGCAUUUUUUACAGGUUUUCAUUGUGCAUAUAAGUACAUGAUUUAGUCUUAAGAUUGGAAACUCAUUUCCAUUAGAGUAUUUUAGUAUUAUUUCAAAGUAAAGUGUACUACUUCUGUAGUAGAACUUGACGUAUUAUUUUGAAUAAAAGCACAUUUUAUAU
rnacentral:sRNA from 1 species